rnacentral:rRNA from 1 species
CCUACGGGUGGCAGCAGUGAGGAAUAUUGGUCAAUGGACGAGAGUCUGAACCAGCCAAGUAGCGUGAAGGAUGACUGCCCUAUGGGUUGUAAACUUCUUUUAUAUGGGAAUAAAAUGUUCCACGUGUGGGAUUUUGUAUGUACCAUAUGAAUAAGGAUCGGCUAACUCCGUGCCAGCAGCCGCGGUAAUACGGAGGAUCCGAGCGUUAUCCGGAUUUAUUGGGUUUAAAGGGAGCGUAGGUGGAUUGUUAAGUCAGUUGUGAAAGUUUGCGGCUCAACCGUAAAAUUGCAGUUGAAACUGGCAGUCUUGAGUACAGAAGAGGUGGGCGGAAUUCGUGGUGUAGCGGUGAAAUGCUUAGAUAUCACGAAGAACUCCGAUUGCGAAGGCAGUUCACUGGACUGCAACUGACACUGAGGCUCGAAAGUGUGGGUAUCAAACAGGAUUAGAUACCCUAGUAGUC